UCCACCACAUCUAGAAAAGGACAUGGCCGGUCAAGGGUACUUGCUCUUGCUAAACAUUUGGUGAUAAAGGCGAGCGACCCUCUAUCACUUUCCCACUAGGGAAGUAUAUACCGAUGGGGCCAUGGGCAGCCAUUUUCACGACCGAGGUGGGGGUGAUAUGUCGACAGUAGGCGCCCCUUACUUGUGGGUCUUGGCAGUCCGUGCCUGAUAUUGACAAGGCAGUCAUACGCAGUUGAAUAUUGGAUAAAUUUGACAUUGACAUGGAACUUAGUAAUGUUAAAAAGGAGUUCAACAUGUCUUUGGGCAAUCGGUUCAGGCAAUAUAAGAGUCGGUGUCAUUCCUACUAUAAAAAAAAUGCGGGUCGUGAGGGGACACGACAACACCCUUACGAUGGCAUCUCCCUCGAAGAUUGGGAUAAAAUUUGCAGUAUUUUCGAGUUUGAUGCAUUCUAAGUGAGAUCUAAAUUUCAUUCAUGCUUAGUUUUCAAUAACUUUGUUAUAAGUAUUGCAAUAACUUGUUUGUACUUUUAAUGUAGAAAGGAGUAAAACAAAUGCUGAGAAUCGCUCCAAGCUUAUGGUGAAUCACACGGCUGGUUCGAAGCCGUUUGUCCGACUUCAUAAUGAGAUGUGUGACUAGGAGACCCAGGAAGAGCCUGAUCUCAUUACUUUUUAUAAGAACACACACAUUAGGAAGAAGACAGGAACUUGGGUGACUCCACGUUGUGGGGAGCUAUAUGUGAGAAUCAUUUUAACUUAUUUUAAAGUUGUUUUAUUACUUAUUCAUUUCAUAUUAAUAAUGUUUUAUUAAAACUACAAAACAAAAUGCUACAAAUCUAGACUCAAUUUCAGUCGGAGGACACUACACCAUUGACAGCAGACGAAGCAUGUUUUUGGGCCCUUGGCUCUAGAUCUGGCUACGUCCGUGGUCUUAGGCAUGGGGAAGUGCCUGCAUCGACCCAUCAUAUCUAUGUUGAUUUGGAUAAGGCUACGAGGAGGGCCAAGCAAGUAAAGGCAACGUCGGCUGAGCUGUGAGAAAUGAUAAAUGAUAUAAA